CGCCCGAAGACCGCCGAGGCCUCCCGCAGCGCCGCGGUGACACCCGGGUCAGGGGCGCGGGGCCGGGCGCCGGGGAUUGUGGGAGGCGCGGGGGGGCGCGCCGGCCGCCUUCGGAGCCCCGCAACUCGCGUCCUGCAAAGGCCGCCGGGCCCUGUCGAGAAGACCCGACCGCAGAUGGCGGGGAGGAUGCUCCCGGCGGCGCGGGAACCGGGUCUGACUCCCGAGCCACCGCCGCUUCCGCAGGGGCGCCGGCCCCGGGAAAGUCAAGUCAUAAAUCCCUGAAUCUAAAACUCCAUUCUCAGAGAAAAGGCCUCCAAGGACGGGCGCCGUGCGCGGCAACUGCCUGCAGUUUUGAAGCCCUUUGACUAUUUCAUAACAAAGACAAGGCCGGGCGGCUUGGACGCUUAGGAAAAUCCUGGGGCUUUGCAAAAACAACAGGUUAAUCUAGUCGUGUGGGAUGAUCACCAAAACAAGACAGGAAAGAAGAACACCGUGUCAAUGCUGAAAAGCCAGCCCCUAACACAGGGCUUCUACUCCAGGGUCUCCUCGCCAGGGAACCCCAAACACACAGGACCUGGAGAAGCCGGGUAGAGCUGGCUCCUGGCCCUGCGCUUGGGUGGUCGGCUGCCUUAAGAAGAACUGCACCCCAGAGACAGGCUCGCAGCUGCCGACCUUAUCCACUCGCCCUUUCUGCCGGAGCCCAGGCCCAGUGCUCCAGCAAGGAGGCUGAGAAAAUGCUGAAGACUGAUGCCCACGGGGGACAGCUUGGGCUAAGGAUAACGUUUGCAAAACAAACCUUUAAAAACCCAUAGCAACCUGUUUCCUAGAGCACACUCUUCAUCUCUCCACCCCCAAACUAGUCCCGACUCGGAUCCUCCUUUUCCUAUCCUCUUUCUCUUGCUCUCCCGUCUCCUAUUCACUUUUCCUCUCCUUUCCUCUUGAUUAUUAUAAACAAAUGCUUCCCCAGUCUUACCGCCAUCAUAUGUGUACAUAUGCAACCCUUACUGUUACCAAUUUGUUGAAGUCAAGACAGGAGGAGGCAAAGUUUAAAAAUCAGAAGCAUUGCAGGAAAUGAAAAUGGAGUGAGUGUUGCCUGGGUAUCACAAAUUUUUUUUUUUUUUUUUUAACAGUUCCUCUACUUGGCUCUCCUCCAAAGGUACGCGGCCACAGCAGGCAGGGGCUUGGCAGUGUGGGAGGAGACACCACAGAAGACAGGGAAGAACUGCCAGGCCUUGGUUCAUCUCCACACUGGCGAGAGAGGACGUGCAGGGAAGUAUCGGCUGCCAGAUAGGGAGCUGAGACUUCAAGAAGCUAAAUAAGGUGUCCAACACCACAGAGCAUGGAGCAAAGGACACGGGACUCCAAAUCUUCCUAACUCGUGUGCUCAUCUGGCUAUCUCACCAGGGCCUUAAAUUUAAUAUAUCCCAAACUGAACUCAUCUUUAUCCCUUCCCACUUUGCACUCCUCAAAUGUCCUUGUUUAAAAUAGUUACCUUUAUCUUUCCUAACCCAGAAACUCAAAACCUGGCAUCAUCUUUGACUUCUCUCUUUACCUUCACAUUCAACAGUUUCCAAGACUUAAAGGCUUUAUUUGCAGGAUCUCUACCCCUGAUCCUCUACAGUUUCACACCUACAUCCCAUUCUCGUUCCCAAAUCCCCAUAACUCCUCUCCUGGCCCAUCCCUUAACACUGAAAUCCUGGCUUGGAAAAUAUGGUCACAUUCACAGCAGCUGUCCCCAAGAAGGAAGCCAAGGCAACAGUAUGCACAAUGAAAUCACUCUGGGAGAAACUCACUGCCAUGUUGUGACAACACCAUGGAGACGCCUAGGUGAGGGACUGAGGCUUCCUGCCAACAGCCACAUGAAUAAGAUUGGGAACAGAUCCUCCAGCCCCAGUCAAGCCUUCAGAUGACUGCAGUCUCAUGAAAGACCCUGCGCCAAAACCACCCAGCUUGAUGAAAUAAUCUGUACAACAAACCCCCAUGACACAAGUUUACUACAACAAACCUGCACAUGUACCCCUGAAUUUAAAAGUUAAAACCACCACCACCACCACCAACAAAAAACACCCAGCUAAGCCACUUCUGAAUUCCUAACCUACAGAAACUAUGAAAUAAUAAAUAUUUGUAUUUUCAAAAUUA